rnacentral:miRNA from 1 species
AAUUGGUUAGAGGUGGUCUCUG